CACCUCAGUGUGUAGAGGUUUAACUUAACCAAACUUACAGGCCACUUGCCUGUAAACCCAGUCUUUCUCAGUCCAACGAACUUGCCUCUGUUCCCAGGUCUGCAGAGUUGUUCAGCC